ACCCCCGGGAAACUGGGGACAACUCCCUAUAGGCGUGAGCACCUGGAAUGGACACACGCCCAAACAGACGCCGACCACGUUCGGCGCCCGCCAUAGGAUGAGGCUGCGGCUGAUCAGGCAGUUGGCGAGGUAACGCCUCACCAAACCUGUGACCAGUACGGGCCAUGAGAGUGGUAGCCCGGAGAUGGGCACUGAGACAGGGGCCCAGGCCCUACGGGGCGCAGCCAGGCCGCAAAACUUCCACAAUGGUCCCCCAGUUCCAAUGGGGGUUAUCCUCGAGGUGUCGACUGAAAAAGCGGACUUUUCCCAUAGAGUAUUAUCUUGGGGAAAUAAAAAGGGGGGGCAAGACUGGGUGUCAGCCCGCCGCGGUAAACCCCAGCCCCUUCGAGUGGGGGGGGACUAUUAUUUUGGCCUAAAGGCGUUCGUUGGCCGGCAAAAGCCGUCACCCGUAAAAUCAAGCGCUUCAGCCUUUGAACUGGGGGGUGAUCCCCUUUUAGCUGAAGGGUGGGACCAGGUCAAGCGGUUUUCCCGGGGGUAGGGGGCAAAAUCCUUUUGAUCCCGGGGAGGCCCCACCAAGUGGGCGAAAGGCUUGCUUGACUUAGAACCACGGCCUGACGGUCAGGGACGAAAAGCUUGGGGUAGCGAACCGAAUUAAGAUACCCCGGGUUAGUCCCCAGCUUGUAAACCAAUGCCACGCUAGGGUGUUUGGGGUCGGGCCACCGCGCCGCCCCCAAGUGCCCGCAGGGAAGCCCGUUAAAGCCGUGCCCGCCUUGGGGAGUUACGGCCCGCAAGGCCUGAAAACUUUAA
rnacentral:rRNA from 1 species